AUUCAGCUGUACCAUCUUGGGCAAAGACCAUUCAAGACACAUUACAGGUUAUGCUCCGGAAGAUGGAGACAUUGGAGGAGAACCAGCGAGAGGCUCUCCUAUUCAGGCGACUACAGGGCAGACACACUGAAGAGGUGCCAGUGAUGGACCUACAGGUGGCCCAAACACAGGCUGACCUCCAAGACCUUGAGGAGCGCCUUAAGGUGCUGGAGUUCCGAAAGAGAGUGACGCUGUGAUGAAGUGGAAGACGGGACUGGGAGAGAAGGCUGUGGAGCUCCUCAUAGCAGAGACACUCACGCCCCGAAUCAUGAUUGCAGCUUCCAUAUCCAACCUUUCACAUGGCUAUGUGACAAAAAACUAGAAUCCCAUAAUAUUUUUUUGAUGAUGUAUAUUAUU